AACGCACGAGACCUGCGGACCUGCGGAGGGAUCAUUACCGAGUUUACAAAACUCCCAAACCCUUUGUGAACCUUACCUAUCGUUGCUUCGGCGGGACCGCCCCGGCGCCCUCGCGGCCCGGAACCAGGCGCCCGCCGGAGGCCCCAAACCCUCAUGUCUUUAGUGGUUUCCUCCUCUGAGUGACAUAAACAAAUAAAGUAAAAACUUUCAACAACGGAUCUCUAGAUCGGAAGAGCACAC
rnacentral:misc_RNA from 1 species